GGGAGUGUGGCGGAAUUGGUAGACGCUACGGACUUAAAAUCCGUUGACCCCAAACGGUCGUGAGGGUUCAAUUCCCUCCAUUCCCA
rfam:Coccomyxa sp. C-169 plastid, complete genome.